CACACAAGAACCUUAGUAAGUACAUUUUUCUGGAUAAUAAAAAAAUACAAUGCGGUUUUAUUAAAUCUGUGGCGUCAAAACCAAAGCUUUAUAUAUGCUCUUACAUAUAUCAUUAUGUAACUCAGUCUUUAAAUUUCUGAUUUUCUUUGGCAAGCAAUAUGAACAUCCACAUUUAGAUGUCACGGUGCUUCAAAGGCAUAAAGAUAAACAGGUAACUUAUUAACUCAAACAGUGAAAUAUGAAUUUUAAGCACAGGAUUAAGCAGCUCAGAGGAAGAGAGAAAUCACAGGGAUUCAGGAAGAGGACUCUACCAUUUCCUUCUUUGGCCAUUCUUCUUGGACAGACAUUGCUUUCAAUCAUUUAUGUAGGUAAAGUCACUCUAAAUGUGUAAACCAGACCUGUAUGUAAAUAAGUCAUUGCUUACUGAUCCUUCCAGACUCAGCUCCAGCUUCUCCUCCUGGAACCCCUCUCUGCUGAGUACCCCGCCGUGCUCCCACGGCUCUCUACUGCCCAUCACACCACGAGGCAAGUGCAAGCUGCUCCCCUCAUUUGUCUGAUCCACAGGCUCAUUAACACUUUGGACGGACAUGGUCAUCCCCUACUGGCAGUGCAAUCAAUGAGAUGUGAGCAUAACUCAUUGGAGAGGAACUCAAAAUGACUGUACUAUUUUAAAAAGUUGAAAAGCACAAAUAUUUGAUGGUAAGAGUGAAAGGAUUUUCACCUAAAAUCAAUUCCUCAAACUACACAGAUGUUAUGCAGUUAACCUUGCCAUAGAAAUGAAGUUUGUAAAAGAGACGAGAAUAAAUGCAGGAACUUGUCCCAGAGCUCUGAACCCAAACACUUCCUGUGCUGCCUCCAAGAGCACUCCAUCGGAGACAGCACUGCCUUUGCAGCUACCCGUCCUGGAUCUGAAUCCCAGCUCCAUGUUACCUGGAUGGCUUUGUCUAAGGCAUAAACUUGCUGCACCCCACUUUCUGAAUAAUGACAGUAGUGUUAACAAUGAAAGCAGCUAACAUUCAUUAAGGAGUGUGAACUUAUUUAAACGAAUUAAUACACUGAAUUAAUUUGAUUUAAUACACAAUAACCUGUAAAGGGAUACAUGUUACAGAUGAGGAAAGUGAGGCUCAGACACACACACCAGGAAGCCAAGAGCCACAGAUGCAAUGAGACAUAUCUGAGAGCACAGGUGGACCUCCCCCACUGCAGCGCCACAACACAGCACACAGAAAGGUCUGGGAGCAAGAGAGAUGAGCGUUCAGGUAAGCUGAGACAACAGCAUCUGAUUUACAGGACUGGCACGGAGCUACAGGGUCAGAAAGGGUUAUGCUGCAGCUCAGCUUUCUGUCUCUAAUGAAGCCAACUGGCUCAAACUCCUCUCUUCAUUCCUACCAAGGACUGCAUCUUGGAUCUUAACUCAGCAUCUGGUGGUUUUAACUUUUUCUCUUUAUUUUUAAUAAAAAACUAGAUGUAAAGGAAAGAUCGUAGGUAAUGAGGUGAACUCUGUGAAUGCGGCACUGCCCAGAACACAAAACCACUCUAGGCCACGCGUGCUCCCUUCUACCCCACGACACCGACCGCAGAGGCAGGUCUUGUACAUCUGGGAUUCUGGUCUGUCAUUCCCUUUCAUUCUUUUUUAAAAGUAGUAUGGUUAUAAAUACAUGUAUCCGAAAAAAAUCUGCAGUUAGUUUUGGUAACUUCUUAGUUUCAUAAAAAUUGCUUUCUGUGAUGGUUAGUUCUGUGUGUCAGCUUGACUGGGGAAGCCUGGACAGCUGGUGAAACAUGGUUUCUGGGUGUGUCUGGAAGAGGUUAGCAUCUGAGUCAGUAGGCUGAGUUAAAGAUCCCUCCUCAUCAGGGUGGCCCAACAUCACUGAAUCCCUGGUGUGGCCGAGGAAGGGAGAUUUCUCUCCUCUUGAGCUGGGACAUCCCUCUUUUUCUGCCCUCAGAUUGGAGUUCCUGGUUCUUGGGCCUUCAACUCCAGGGCUUACACCAUUGGCUCCACGGUUCUCAGGCCUCUGGACUCGGACACCACCAGCUUUCCUGGGUCUCCAGCUUGCACAUGGCAGACUGUGGGAGUAUGCUAACCCUCCAUAAUUACGAUAAUCAAUUAUCCUCACACCAUCUACGAAGAGUUCAUCCUCCCCAUGGAUCUGUGUUGCCACUUGUCAUCUACCCAGUUUUUAGAUCUGAGAGAGUCUGAUUAUGAGGUCUCUGCUCUGUUGAGUAGCUCAGCUACCUUCUCUGUGCCAGAGGACUGUCUAUUAGUCUUUUCAGUGAAGCAACUUCUGGCCUUAAUGAUGCUCUCUAUUGUUGGGGGAGGUCACUGACUGAGAGCAUGAGACUGCUGGCUUCCCCAGAGCUGGACCUGGGCAACGGGAGGCCCCUGCCCUAUCCUUGGAAUGCAUGUUCUGCUCAACGUUUCCAUGGUAGAAACCACUUCAAGGACACAGCCUUGAGAGCGUAAGGUGUUGCUGAGACCAUCUGGACUGAUUCGUGACUGAACUACAUUCAGGCAUUCGGGUGGGUGGGUGUGGGGAUCUACUCGUCCGGCACUGCCCAAGACAAGCCUCCUAUGUAAGUUCCCUUGCUGAUUAAACCUGCCACCCCCCAUCUGGAGUGGCCUGCCUCUUUCGUCAGGCUCUCCCUGCCCUCUGUGUCCGGGGGCCAGUUUCAGGUUUCACCUGGGCAACGCCCGUGGUUGGAACUCAACAAGUGGCGAGCUGGCCAGGAGACUGAAGAGAUGGGUCUUGGGAUAGAGGCAUCUGGGGGGGAAAUCUCGUGUUGACUAUUGACCUCUCUUUGGGGAGGGGUAGACUGUAUGUCAGAUGCUUGUGGAGCGCCACCUGACUACAGGGACACUCCGAAAAUGCUGGCUGUUUUAAUGCCUUUGCUUAAGAAACUGCGGAUGGCACACUGCAACAAAAAAGAGAAAGGAAUGGCAGCUACAGAAGGCUGGCCUCUAUUGUGGGCAGUUCAGCGGCCACCGAUGCCCAACUGGCAUCUGAAGCUCGUACAAAGUUGGAAGAACAGCUGAGGAUAGAGAAAGAUGUACGGUAUCCACUACUCUGCUAGCACUGGGGCUGGCAGACAAAGUGAGAGAGCAGGGUAAGUCGGAGACCUCAGUGUGCCAUUGUGCAAAGCUGGGAGGAUGCAAGCUGCCUUAGAUUAAGGUCCAAGUGCUUGUGACAAAGCCGACUGAGAUACUAAGAGGCAGAAUCGCUGGGAAAGUGAUGAGUGAGGAGGAUGUUGUGGUGACUGACAGUGCAACGGAAGAAACACCCCAUGCCCUCCAACCCCUAAUACAAAGGAGAACAAAGCACAGCAACAACAACCCCAGGCAUCAGGGCAGCCCCCAGUGCAGGAAACUUUCAUGAUGAGAGAAUACACGCCGGCUGAGCUUACUGAUAUAGCUGCCAAGUUCCAGCAAAAGGCCAGGGCAAGUAUCCAGGCACGGUUGGUAUAGCCAUGGGAGACGGGGGGAGGUGAUGGUACUUCUCUGACCCGGCAGGAGGCAGAGAAGAGGAGCAACAUCCCCACAGCCCGCCCACCAGCAGUGCCUGCAUGGUGUGCAGUUCAAGGCACUCACUCCCUUACAGACUGGAUUAUUCCUGCCUGCAGGGAGGCGUGGCCCACUGAGGGGGAUGCCCUGGGCACCUGGAAACCUAUGCAGGAGGUACAAGAAAUCCUUAGGGAGCUGGGAAUGAGACAGGCCAUCUACUCCCUGUCUUUGAAGGCCCUGAUCAGGUCAAAUUCACUGUAGGAAUGAAAGCCAAGACACUCCAGUCCACCCCAAGCACCUGGUAUGGGACACUGAUAUCCAUGGUGAGCCCAGCUGGAUAAGAUAUUUAUGAUGUUGGGCAAUCCAUUGCUGAUCUGAGAGAAACUGACAAAUCCUCGGCUGUGGGAAAUACCUGAGACAGAGAGGGAGCUCAAAAAGCCAAAGGUCCAUCGCAGUCAGUUAUAAAGCAUCCAGUAAAAGCAACCUGAACAGACAGAUGGACAACCCAAUGCUGUGUUGUUGGUCAGCCUGUGGAAAGCCUUACAAUCUGAACAACAGUUCAGACCUGCCCCACCUGCCCCACCAUGCCCGAUGCUCCGCCUGCUCAAGCGGAGGCCUCACAGGUACAGUCCUGUUCAGGGUGCGUGCCUCCCACACCCCCGGUAUAGGAUGCAGGCUAAGAUCGCCUUCAGGUGAGGGCUGUUGCGGGUAACUGGAGGCCUCGUGUUGAGCUCACUACUCACUGUCACCCAGAAAUAAACAAGACGUGAUGGCUCUGGUGGACACUGGAGCAGAAUGUACUCCAAUCCAUGGUCACCCUCAGAAGUGUUCUGGCCCCUCCGUGCCACCGAUGGGUAUGGGAGGCAAACGGUUAUGGUCAGGAAGGUCCCUUUGACACGGCAAAUUGGGCAUUUUCCCCCACAAGAACACAAGGUUUUUCUCUCUCCAAUACCAAAGAACGUACUGGACAAUGAUAACCUGUAAGGUCAAACUCUGCAAACUUCUAUCACUGAAUUCUGCCUCCAGGGUAGAGUAACUAAACCAGUACUGAGGGGAAACCCCAACUGGGAACCAGUAAGUCUCUAGACCCUGCAAAGAGUGAUAACUGUCAACAAUAUAAAUUGCCUGGGGGCUGGCCCCGUGGCCGAGUGGUUAAGUUCGUGCGCUCUGCUGCAGGUGGCCCAGUGUUUCGUUGGUU